rnacentral:rRNA from 1 species
AUUGAACGCUGGCGGCAGGCCUAACACAUGCAAGUCGAGCGAGCGGCGGACGGGUGAGUAAUGUCUGGGAAACUGCCUGAUGGAGGGGGAUAACUACUGGAAACGGUAGCUAAUACCGCAUACCAUCAGAUGUGCCCAGAUGGGUUUAGCUAGUGGGUGGGGUAAUGUCUCACCUAGGCGACGAUCCCUAGCUGGUCUGAGAGGAUGACCAGCAAAACUGGAACUGAGAGCCGGUCCCGACUCCGACGGUAGGCAGCAGUGGGGAAUAUUGGACAAUGGGCGCAAGCCUGAUGCAGCAAGGCCGCGGAUGUGAAGAGGUCUUUGGGGUUGUAAAGCACUUUCAGAGGGGAGGCGUUACCCGCAGAAGAAGCACCGGCUAACUCCGUGCCAGCAGCCGCGGUAAUAC